GACCGCGACCAUACCACGUUGGAAAUACCGGUUUGCGGCUGAUCACCGAAGUUAAGCUAUUUCGGACCCGGUUAGUAUUUGUGUGGCUGACUGACUGGGAAUACCGGAUGUUGCAGCCA
rnacentral:rRNA from 1 species